AUAUGAGGCGGGCUGGACCUCUCGGGGUUACAGCCUUGCUGAAUUAUUCACCCUUGUCUUUUGCGUACUUCUUGUUUCCUUGGUGGGUUCGCCCACCACUAGGACAAACAUAAACCUUUUGUAAUUGCAAUCAGCGUCAGUAACAAAUUAAUAAUUACAACUUUCAACAACGGAUCUCUUGGUUCUGGCAUCGAUGAAGAACGCAGCGAAAUGCGAUAAGUAGUGUGAAUUGCAGAAUUCAGUGAAUCAUCGAAUCUUUGAACGCACAUUGCGCCCUUUGGUAUUCCAAAGGGCAUGCCUGUUCGAGCGUCAUUUGUACCCUCAAGCUUUGCUUGGUGUUGGGCGUCUUGUCUCUAGCUUUGCUGGAGACUCGCCUUAAAGUAAUUGGCAGCCGGCCUACUGGUUUCGGAGCGCAGCACAAGUCGCACUCUCUAUCAGCAAAGGUCUAGCAUCCAUUAAGCCUUUUUUUCAACUUUUGACCUCGGAUCAGGUAGGGAUACCCGCUGAACUUAAGCAUAUCAAUA
rnacentral:rRNA from 1 species